UACGGGGGGGGCAAGCGUUGUUCGGAAUUACUGGGCGUAAAGGGCGCGUAGGCGGCCUGCUAAGUCACACGUGAAAUCCCCGGGCUUAACCUGGGAACUGCAGUCGAGACUGUCUAGCUAGAGUAUGGGAGAGGGAAGUGGAAUUUCAGGUGUAGCGGUGAAAUGCGUAGAUAUCUGAAGGAACAUCAGUGGCGAAAGCGACUUCCUGGACCAAUACUGACGCUCAUGUGCGAAAGCGUGGGGAGCAAACAGG
rnacentral:rRNA from 1 species